UACGUAGGGUGCGAGCGUUGUCCGGAAUUAUUGGGCGUAAAGAGCUUGUAGGCGGUUUGUCGCGUCUGCUGUGAAAUUUCGGGGCUCAACCCCGAACUUGCAGUGGGUACGGGCAGACUAGAGUGUGGAGGGGAGACUGGAAUUCCUGGUGUAGCGGUGAAAUGCGCAGAUAUCAGGAGGAACACCGAUGGCGAAGGCAGGUCUCUGGGCCACUACUGACGCUGAGAAGCGAAAGCAUUGGGGAGCGAACAGG
rnacentral:rRNA from 1 species